rnacentral:rRNA from 1 species
CCUACGGGAGGCAGCAGUGAGGAAUAUUGGUCAAUGGUCGGGAGACUGAACCAGCCAAGCCGCGUGAGGGAUGAAGGUACAGAGUAUCGUAAACCUCUUUUGUCAGGGAACAAAGGCGGGGACGUGUCCCCGGAUGAGUGUACCUGAAGAAAAAGCAUCGGCUAACUCCGUGCCAGCCGCCGCGGUACUACGGAGGAUGCGAGCGUUAUCCGGAUUUAUUGGGUUUACAGGGUGCGCAGGUGGUCUGUUAAGUAAGCGGUAAAGGCCCGGGGCGCACCCCCGGCCCGCCGUUGAAACUGGCAGUCUCGAGUUGGAGAGAAGCAUGCGGAAGGCGCGGUGUAGCGGUGAAAUGCAUAGAUAUCGCGAAGAUCUCCGAUUGCGAAGGCAGCAUGCCGGCUCCACACUGACGCUGAGGCACGAAAGCGUGGGUAUCGAACAGGAUUAGAUACCCCAGUAGUC